rnacentral:rRNA from 1 species
UACGUAGGGUGCAAGCGUUAAUCGGAAUUACUGGGCGUAAAGCGUGCGCAGGCGGUGAUGUAAGACAGAUGUGAAAUCCCCGGGCUCAACCUGGGAACUGCAUUUGUGACUGCAUCGCUAGAGUACGGCAGAGGGGGAUGGAAUUCCGCGUGUAGCAGUGAAAUGCGUAGAUAUGCGGAGGAACACUGAUGGCGAAGGCAAUCCCCUGGGCCUGUACUGACGCUCAUGCACGAAAGCGUGGGGAGAAAACAGG